UUGUAUUCAAGUGAAAAGGGGCAAUUCCACCAAUGCCAGAAAAAAAAGGUUGUAUUGAAUGUUUUUCAAUCUCUUUGAGACUCUCUCGGGUAAGUUGUAUUUAAAGUUUUCAGUCUAUUUAUUACGGUCAUAUAGUAGUGUUGAAACACUUCUCAUUACAUGACUGAGCCAAGACAAUAGUCACAAGAAACAUGCAUCAACGUCCAAGAAACACCCUAUAACUUUAUUUUUUUUCACUUUUCCUCUUUUGUUUGAUGGAUGUAGUUUAAACUUUGAAAUUUAUUAUCACUCACGACAUUCAUAUCAUAUGUCGUUUUUCCUAAUUUUCGCAGGAAAUAUAUUUCAACCUUCAGACCAGUUCGAACUGGCUGAUUAGGAUCCUCGUUGGAUACAAUAGGUAAAUGGUUUUUAAUUGUUUUUCAAAAUAUUGUUAUGACACAUUACUUUAUAUUUAUUACUGUUCUGUUAUUGUAAAUUUUCUUGGAACUAAGGGCUUGAUAGUAGUAUCACAUGGCUGAGUAUUGUAUUGGUUUUGCUUCAUACUUUCAUUCAUGGCCUCUUUGGAAGCCCCAGCUUCGUUAAUUAUUAUUAAUCAUUAAUGAAUCUUGCAGAGUUGGUCUGGCGAUGUAUACUCAGGAAGCAGAUAAAGAAACUCGUGGCUAUUAUAUUAGGUUGCAUGUCAGCUGCAAUUUUAAUUGCAGAGGCUACUAUUCUGCCAAG
rnacentral:lncRNA from 1 species